CCAGUCCCAACCAUUCAUAGAAGCCUUUUCACUUAAAAGUCAAAUUCAAUUUUUGUGUUUGAGACAGUUCGCUUCUUGUCCAACCAUUCAUACAAGCCUCCAAUUAAGAGAUUAAUGACUAUGCUACCUUCGCACGGUUAAAAUACCGCGGCCCUUUAGUUUGAUCCCAGUGGGCAGGUUAGACUUUAUAAACCAUCAUAUAGACAUGUUUUUGAUAAACAGGCAGAAGCUUUAUUUGCCGAGUUCCUUAA